rnacentral:lncRNA from 1 species
CCGAAGGCGGAAGAUAGGAGUAUUUCUACUCCUAAUACUAUGAGUAAACUUAUUAUCGUCUUAAUUAUCUAUAGUAGUUUUAUACAAUUGUGUGAUAUUAUAGAAAAUGGGUUUAAAUGGUAAAUUGCUAUGUUUUAAGAGAAAUUGUGAUUUUAUAAAUUUUCUGGAAAAUCGAAUAUUGGUUUUGGAAAUAGAGUAAUUGGAGACUGCCUGCUUGUGUUGUAAAUUUAUGGUUUUAAAUUGAAUGGCUUAUGACAAUAUAUGAGCAUGAAUGGCUAAACUGAUUUUGGUGUCAGAAUUAUUUAUAUUGUGUAUUCAGCCUUGAGAGGCUAGAUUGUGAUAAAUUGUCAUGCCAUGCUAGAAUGAAUUUUAUUGAAUUGGUGGAGUAUAUAUUAAUUAUUUACUGCAGAGGGGGUUCCGUGGACCAGCCUAUUAGAGGGGCACGGUAAACUCCAUUAUAUUAUUACCCCGAAAGGAGGCGCGUAGGGUAUCUCCUGGGGUAAAGCUUAGGGUUCACUUCACGCUAAACCACCACGUGAAGGGGAACUCAGCCAACGCCAAGGAACGGCUGUAUUUUUCUCAAACUAAAAAUAUAUUUUAAGUGUAUAUGAAAUUUUAAUAGCCUUGGCAGACUCGGUUGGAUGCAUUGCGCAAGGUAUCACCGAGUAUGAGUUUUAGCACGAGCCAAAGUUUUAAGAAAUUCAUAAGCCAAGUUGAUUACUCGAUUUAUAUGGAUUGAUUUUAUUUGGUUGAAAUGAACUGAAAGGUAAUGAAAUUACAGUAUGAUGACUUAUUUUAAUUGUCUCCAUUUACUCGGCUUUAGAUACUUUAGAUGGUAU